GGAUGCGCUCAUACCAGCACUAAUGCAUCGGAUCCCAUCAGAACUCCGCAGUUAAGCGUGCUUGGGCGAGAGUAGUACUCGGA
rnacentral:rRNA from 1 species